AGUCGAACGAUGAAGCGGUGCUUGCACCGUGGAUUAGUGGCGAACGGGUGAGUAACACGUGAGUAACCUGCCUUCCACUCUGGGAUAAGCGCUGGAAACGGCGUCUAAUACUGGAUAUGACAUUGCCUCGCAUGGGGUGGUGUGGAAAGAUUUUUUGGUGGUAGAUGGACUCGCGGCCUAUCAGCUUGUUGGUGGGGUAAUGGCCUACCAAGGCGACGACGGGUAGCCGGCCUGAGAGGGUGACCGGCCACACUGGGACUGAGACACGGCCCAGACUCCUACGGGAGGCAGCAGUGGGGAAUAUUGCACAAUGGGCGAAAGCCUGAUGCAGCGACGCCGCGUGAGGGAUGACUGCCUUCGGGUUGUAAACCUCUUUCAGCUCUGACGAAGCUUUUUGUGACGGUAGGGGCAGAAGAAGCACCGGCUAACUACGUGCCAGCAGCCGCGGUAAUACGUAAGGUGCGAGCGUUGUCCGGAAUUAUUGGGCGUAAAGAGCUUGUAGGCGGCUUGUCGCGUCUGCUGUGAAAGCCCGGGGCUUAACUCCGGGUCUGCAGUGGGUACGGGCAGGCUAGAGUGUGGUAGGGGAGACUGGAAUUCCUGGUGUAGCGGUGGAAUGCGCAGAUAUCAGGAGGAACACCGAUGGCGAAGGCAGGUCUCUGGGCCAUUACUGACGCUGAGAAGCGAAAGCGUGGGGAGCGAACAGGAUUAGAUACCCUGGUAGUCCACG
rnacentral:rRNA from 1 species